UAGGGGGGACAGGGUUCAGAGCCCUUACCCGAACCCAGGGUAACUCUGAAAGUGGAGGGGAA
rfam:Rattus norvegicus chromosome 12, whole genome shotgun sequence.